UUUGUUGAGACGAGCUCACCAAAUGAAUAAGCACUAACAGCCCGUGUGAGUGUGAGCUGUCCUCAGGCACUGAAUGUGUUGCUCAGCACCAUGCCAAGCUCGGCGAGUACACACUACUGAACAAAAAAAAAAAAAAAAAAAAAAAAGGAAUGCUCUAAAUCACCUCAGUAAUCCAUUCUGACAAGAGCAAGACAAGAUUAAGUUCAGUUUUUAAAUAUAAACCCUCUUUCUACCUCACUCCCUGAUGUCAUUUUGUUGACUACAAAGAUGAAAACACUGUACACUUCCUUGAAAAUCUUCUCCAAUUCCAUAAGAAAGUCUCUUUAACUAUUAUUUAUAAAACACUUGCGAAUGCUGGGAAAGUAGCUUUUAGUCUAAAUAAGUAUUGCGGUAUUACGGGGGCGGAAAUGAACUGUAUAUGCAGAUGAAAUACAAUAAUAGAUGACAAUGCAGUGAGUUGUGAUGGCUGAGGAACACGAGUUUUACACUGUCAGUUGAAAAAGAAUUUUAUGUAGUAAAAACAGAUGAAAAGGGGAAAUUUACAAGGAAACCCAUCCUCCUCUGGUCGACACUGGAUAGCGGGAAUUACAGUACGGAGAGAAUAGGAGGAGUUAACUCUCGAUCUCAAACAGACUCGUCCGAGAAACAUGGAGGAUUGUUGUGAGACGUGUACCUGAAACCUGUCAGACAAAAACAGUGCAAUAUAAACAGAAUGAAAAGGAACGUAAAGACUUGGAAAAUAACAGCGUGCUAAAUAAAUGGUCCGGGAAAGGUUCCUGCAGGGAUUGGCAGCCAAGCUAAUGUGUAGCUAAUUAGCUAAAAUCACACCAUAGCAGGAAUUUCAAACGGAGGUGAGGAUUGUGUAUGAUGUGGUCUCCAGGCAGCCACGUGUGUCAGGAGAGGGAAUGGCAUACUCAGCUGGUUCCAAAUGUUUUACUAUAAAAAAUAUUUAGCGGUAACAUGUUUAUGUCUUUUAAGCGUUUAUAGUGAUAUACGGCUGUAUAAAUCACUAACUGACCUGUCUUCUUAAAUCAUAUGCAAGGAAUAUUCCGGUAUAUUUCAACCUAAUCUAAAUCUGUAGCGUACGGUCAAUUAUCAGACUUUUUACGCUCAGAAAUCUGAUUAGUCAAAUCACGCUUAUAGUGGAAGCCUAAGGGCAGUUGCUGAACUUAAUCGAUGAAAAGGUCAAAUAUGUGAGUACAUAAUGCUAAUAAACAACAACGACUAUUACAAUCUAACAACAACGGUAUAACCGCUGAGACAGACAUGAGAGAUUUUCGAACUAACCAAGCGGCUGUCUUAAUUCGAAUUUACUGCGUGCACUGCUUUUGAAUGUCUGAACGGUCUGAAGGUGUCGACUCACAGCAUGGCUCUCAGGUUUACUGUAUAUUAAUGCACUUAGUUUAACUCCUGUUAUUGUUUCUAUAGCAACAAAUAAUUCACA
ensembl:lncRNA